UGGAAUCUCAUGAAAUCACAAGCCAUAGAAAACUACAUAGCGUUCUAACUCUAGAAUGUCUAAUCAAAAGUAAAUAUAGGAAGUCUAAAGCUAAAGGGGAGAAUAGAGAGGGACUUCUAGGUCUGCGGACGCGGUAGAUAUACCUCGAAGUCUCUAAUGUCGCCCGCCUCACUGAUAGAACGGCUGAGUAGAAGAACCUGGAUCUGCACACGAAAAAUAUAUGCAGGAAAGGGUAUGAGUACACCAUAGUAGUACUCAGUAAGUGUCAACCCUAACCUCGGUCGGGUAGUAAUGAGGAAGGUUAGGGCCCUACUGGUUAUAUAUAUAUAAAACAAGGUAAAAUAGUAUGAAAUGUGAUAGUAUAAUUUAAAUACUAACAGUCGACAAGGAAUAAAAUCACAGAAAGAAUAUAACCCAGUACACAAAGAUAGAAAUAGGGGAUCUCCCAGGAUAUUGUCCAGUAGUCCCAAACGUAAAUGUGUAGAGGAUCUCCCGGGAUAUCGUCCCGUAGUCUGAAUCAUAAAUGUGCAGGGAAUCUCCCGGAAUACUAAUCUGUAGUCCCAAAGUAAAUAUCUAGUACAGGGGGAUCUCCCGGGAUGUCGUCUCGUAGUCCCAAAUGUAAAUGUGCAGGGGGAUCUCCCGAAAAUACCAAUCCGUAGUCCCAAAGUAAACAUGUAGGGGAAUCUUCCGGGAUAUCGUCCUGUAGUCCCAAAAUCUCACUUGGGGAACUUUUGCCUUCAGUUCCCUUAAUUAGAAGAGGAAAACAAAAAUAGAUUAUAGUAUUAUGAUCAAAAUCAAGUUAGAAUUCAUUACCCAAUGAUUCUCCUUCAAAACCUCUCAAAAUAUUGUUUCCCACCGAGCUCCAAUGCGAUUUGUGUGUUAUGAAAUUUCAAACCUCGAUUUUACUAUAUCUGCCCAGCGAUUACCGCAUAUGCGGUCCAUGGGGCCACACCUACGGUCCCGCACCUGCGUUUUGGGCUCCGCAUCUGCAGAAUUUCAUUAACUCCCUAGGCACCGCACCUGCGCUCCCUUCUCCGCAUCUGCUAUCCUUAAGCCGCAUCUGCGGUCACUGGCCCUUGUGCUCCAGACCGUACCUGCGACCUCGUGUCUCACUUCUUCGGGCCUCACCUGUGGGCUCCCCACCACAGGUGUGAAAAUACCAGAAGCACCCAACUUUAGAAUUUGCCUAAGUAAUUCACUUCCGUUAAGUAUCCGAAAUUCACCCGAGGCCUUAGAGACCUCAACCAAACAUGCCAACCAAUCCUAAAACAUCAUACAAACCUAAUCCAACCCUCGGAUCAUAUCAAACAAAGUUAAAACCACGAUUCACUGUCCAAUCCAAGCCUAAUGAACUUGAAAUCUCAAGAAUUCUACAACCGAUGUCGAAACUAACCAAACCAUGUCUGAAUGACCCAAAUUUUCACACAAAUCACAUUCAACACUAUGGAGUUAUUCCAACUUUCAGAAUCGGAUUCCGACCCCGAUAUCAAAAUUUCACUAUCGAUCCGAAAAUUUCAAAAAUUCAACUUUCGCUAUUUCAAGCCUAAAUAAGCUACGAACCUCCAAAACACAAUCCGAAUUUACCCCUAAGCCCGAAAUCACUCAACGGAGCUAACAGAAUUGACAUAAUUUCAUUAUGAGGCCAUCUUCACAUUGUUCUACCUACGACCCAAAUUCUAAAGCUUAAACUCUCAUUUAGGGAUUAAGUGUCCCAAAACGCUCCAAAAAUCCAAACGAAUCCUCCCAGCAACUCACAAUAGCAUAAAUAAAUACGGGGAAAGUAGUUAAUAGGGGAUCGGGACAUUAAUUUUUAAACGACCGAUCAGGNNNNNNNNNNNNNNNNNNNNNNNNNAAGCAGAAGGAUAUUAAUUUGCGCCAGAGGAGGUGGUUAGAGCUGCUGAAGGACUAUGAUAUCACAAUCUUGUAUCACCCAGGCAAGGCCAAUGUGGUGGCCGAUACUUUGAGUCAUUGGGCAAAGAGCUUGGGGAGUUUGGCUUAUUUACCAGCAUUGGAGAGGCCCAUGGCGAUGGAUGUUCAGGCCUUAGCCAGCCAGUUUGUGAGAUUAGAUCUUUCGGAGCACAGUUGGGUUCUAGCUUGUGUGGUUUCUCGGUCUUCCUUAUUUGAUCGUAUCAGGGAGCGUCAGUAGGAUGACCCUCAUUUUCUUGUCCUCAAGGACAAGGUUCUGCACGGCGAUGCCAAAGAUGUGAAUAUUGGUGAUGACGGGGUAUUAAGGAUGCAUGGUCGGGUCUAUGUACCAAAUGUUGAUGGGUUUCGGGAGUUGAUUCUAGCGGAGGCCCAUAGUUCGCGGUAUUCCAUUCAUCCGGGUGUCGCGAAGAUGUAUCAAGAUUUGAGACAACACUAUUGGUGGAGGCAGAUGAAGAAAGAUAUAGUUGGAUUUGUAGCACGGUGCCUCAAUUGUCAGCAGGUAAAGUAUGAGCACCAGAGACCGGGUGGGUUGCUUCAGCAGAUAUAGAUUCCGGAGUGGAAGUGGGAGAGGAUCACCAUGGACUUUGUAGUUGGACUCCUACGGACUUUGAAGAAGUUCGAUGCCAUUUGGGUGAUUGUGGAUCGGCUGACCAAGUCCGCGCACUUCAUUCCUAUGUGUACUACUUAUUCUUCGGAGUGGUUGGCGGAGAUUUAUAUCCGGGAGAUUGUUCGUUUGCAUGGUAUUCCAGUUUCUAUCAUUUAAAACAGAGGUACUCAGUUUACAUCACGGUUUUGGAGGGCCGUACAAUAUGAGUUGGGCACUCGGGUGGAGUUGAGUACGAUAUUUCACCCUUAGACGAACGGACAGUCCGAGCGCACUAUUCAGAUUCUUACGGAUAUGCUCUGUGCGUGUGUGAUUGAGAUUGGGGGGGUCUUGGGAUCAGUUCUUUCCAUUGCCAGAGUUUGCCUACAAUAAUAACUAUCACUACAGCAUUCUGAUAGCACCGUAUGAGGCUUUAUAUGGUAGGCGGUGUAGAUCCCCGGUGGGUUGGUUUGAGCCGGGUGAGGCUAGAUUAUUGGGCACAGACUUGGUUCAGAAUGCUUUGGAGAAGGUUAAGGUGAUUCAGGAUAGACUUCGUACAUCCCAGUCCAUAUAGAAGAGUUAUGCGGACCGGACAGUUCGUGAUGUUUCCUAUAUGGUUAGAGAGCGGAUUCUGCUUCGGGUUUCGCUUAUGAAUGGCGUUAUGAGAUUUGGAAAGAAGGGGAAGUUGAGUCCGAGGUUUAUUGGUCCUUUUGAGAUAUUGAAACGUGUUGGGAAGGUUUCUUAUGAGCUUGCCUUACCUCCCAGCUUGGCAGGAGUUCACCUGAUAUUUCAUGUUUCGAUGCUCCAAAAGUAUCAUGGCGAUCCGUCACACGUAUUGGAUUUUAGUUCAGUCCAGUUGGACAACGAUCUAUCUUAUGUUGAGAAGCCAGUGGCGAUAUUGGACAUGUAGGUUUGAAAGUUGAAGUCAAAGAAUAUUGCAUCAGUAAAGGUUCAGUGGCGGGGUCAGCCGGUCGAGGAGGCGACCUGGGAGACCAAGCAGGAUAUGCGCAGCCGCUACCCUCAUCCUUUACCUACUUUAGGUAUGUCUCUACGCUCGUUCGAGGACGAAAGAAUGUUUAUGUGUGGGACGAUGUAACGACCCGACCAGUCGUUUUAAGAAUUAACGCCUUGAUCCCCUAUUAAUUGUUUUCCCCUAUUUGUUUCUAUUAUUUUGAUUCACCGGGAUGUUUGGUUUUGAGUUUUGGAGUGUUUUGGGACACUUAGUCCCUAAAUAAGAGCUUAAGAUUUAGAAUUUGGAUCGUAGUCGGAGCAGUGUGAAGACGGACUUGGAAUGGAAUUGCGUCGGUUCCGUUAGCUCCGUUGGGUGAUUUCGGGCUUAGGAGCGUGUUCAGAUUGUGUUUUGGAGGUCCGUAGCUUAUUUAGUCUUGAAAUACCGAAAGUUGAAUUUUUGAAGUUUUUGGGUCGAUAGUGAGAUUUUGAUAUCGGGGUCGGAAGGAAAUUUCGGAAGUUAGAGUAGCACCGUAGUGUUGAAUGUGAUAUGUGUGCAAAAUUUCAGGUCAUUCGGAUGAGGGUUGAUAGACUUUUUGAUCAAAAGCAUAAAUUGAGAGUUUUUGGAGUUCUUAGGCUUGAAUCUAUGGUUAAUUAGAUGUUUUGAUGUGUUUUAGGUGUUUUAGGGAUUGAUAUAAGUUUGGAUAGUGGUAUAUGGUUUGUUCGUGAUUUUGGUUGAGGUCCCGGGGGCCUCGUAAUGAUUCCGGAUGGUUGACGGAAAGUUGAGAGUUAGAGCGUGCAGUUGAAACUGUUGGAUUGCUGCCAUAACCGCACCUGCGGAUUGGGGACCGCAGGUGCAGAGCCGCAAAAGCGGCUGGGAGACCGCAGACGCGUCCGGAUGAGGAAAAACUAGAAGUCGCAGGUGCAGAAGUGUCCACGCACCUGCGUGACCGCAUAUGCGGUGAAGAGGUCGCAGGUGCGAAAAUGGCAAUUUAAUGAAGAGUCGCAGGUGCGACUUGGUCUUCACAGAAGCGGGACCGCAGGUGCGGUUCCAAGACCACAGAUGCGGUUUUGCUGGUUAGAAAAGGGGCAGAAACGAGGGUUUAGUUUCAAAACUUGGAAAAUUGAUUUGGGAACUCGGGAUUGUCGAUUUUGAGAGAGAUUUUCACCUGGGUGUUUUGGGUAAGUAAUUCUUACUCGGGUUUGAUUAAUUUUUAUGAAUCUAUGCUUAAAUUCAUCCUUUAAAUUCGAAUUUGGGGUGGAAAAAUUGGAGAAAAGUUGGAAAAGUUUUUAGACCUAACUUUUGAGUUUGGAUCGAGAUUUUUGAUGUCGGAUUGAAGUAAUUUCUAUAUAUAUGAACUCGUGAGAGUAUGGGGUUUCCGAAUUUGUAAAUUUUACUCGAUUCCGAGACGUGGGCCCAAGGGGCAUUUUGGUCAUUUUUCUUAAUUUAGAGUAUUAGCUUAGAAUUAAUUGUUGGAAUCAGCUACUUGAAGUUAUAUUUAUAUUAUACAAUUGAGUUGAAUACAUUUGGGCCAUUUGGAGUCGAGUACUCGUGGCAAGGGCGUGGUUUCGGGUUGAUUUUAAGCUGGAUCGAGGUAAGUGGCUUGCCUAACCUUGUGUGAGAGAAACUCCCCUUAGGAUUUGGUAUUGUUGACAUUUGAAAUGCCUUGUACGUGAGGUGACAAGUGUGUACUUGUGCUAAUUAUUGAAAAUCCAUUUUCAUUAAGUAAUUAUAACUGUGUUUCCUUUCCUGUUUAUACUACUUGCAAUUUAAGCCUACUAUUAGCUUAGGAAAGCAUGUCUAAUUGACUUAAUUGUUUUACUUGCUCAAACUGUUUUAUUCGAAUUUUGUGCAACAUGAUAGGUUAGAAAUACUUGUCUUACCUUGUUAUGAAAUUGGAUUGCACUGAAUAUUCUUCGUGUUGCUGCUGUGUGUUUACUUUGGGACUACGAGACGAUAUCCCAGUAGAUCCCCUCUGCAUGUUUACUUUGGGAUUGCGGAUUUGUAUUCCUGUAGAUCCCCCUGCACAUUUACAUUGGAACUACGGGACUAUACCCGGUAGAUUCCCUCAGCACUGGAUAUUUACAUUUGGGACUACGGAUCGGAUUUCCGGUAAAUCCCCGCGCAUUAUUAGUUGGACUACGGGACUGCACCCGGGAAAUCCACUGAAUAUUUAUAUUUGGGGACUACAGGACGGUAUCCUGGGAGAUCCCCGGUUGUUAUCUUUGUUUUGAGCUGUAUUCAUUUCCGUGAUUAUUUUGUCUAUGUUAUAGUUGUUGUUGUUUUUUCUAUCCUAUGUUACUUCUCACUAUUGCACUUAAUUAUACUGUCUCAUUCAAUACUGUUAUACCUUGUAUUUCAUUAAUCUCAGUAGGGCCCUGACUUUCCUCGUCACUACCCGACCGAGGUUAGGGUUGUCACUUACUGAGUACCGAUGUGGUAUACUCAUGUCGUUUCUGCGCAUGUUUUCCCAUGUGCAUAUCCAAGUACUUCCACUCAGUCUUAUCAUCCUUGAGGCGAGGCACAUUUGUAGAAACUUCAAGGUAUGUCUGCCGCGUCUGCAGACCGAAAAGUCCCUUUCUAUCUUUUUGUAAUAGUAUAGCCCUUUUAUAUUUUCCUUUGAUAGACAUUUCUGGAGUUAGAGCUUCUUAUGUAUCUCUUAGCUUGUGAUUCAUGGGGUUCCGAAUUUUGGAAUGUUAUGCUGAAAUUCUUGUAUUGUUAUAUGUCAGGUAGCAUCUUAAACACAAUUUUAUUUUGUUAUUUCGGUUUUAUAUUAUUUUCUUUCCGCAAAUUGUUUCUUUUCCGCAUUUGUUAGGCUUACCUAGUCGUAGAGACUAGGUUCCGUCACGAUAGUUCACGAAGGGCGAACUAGUGUCGUGACAAUAGGGAGUUUUUCCAAUUAAAGUGACAAUAAUCAAAACGGGAUUAUUUAUUCCAAAUUCAGAGUCGCCACCUAGGAUAAUUUAUGGUAUCCCGAGUCACCAGUUUAAAAUCCCGAAUCGAGGAAGUUUGACUAUGUUUUACAGCCCGCGAAACAUAGAAAUCCGGGUAAGGAAUUAUGUUAACCUGGGAUAAAGUGUUAGGCAUUCUCGAGUUCCGUGGUUUUAGCACGGUCGCUCAAAUAUUAUUAAUUGGCGUAAUUAUCUAAUUAAUUACACAUUUUAAGCCAACACGCAUUUUUAAACUUUCUAACCGCUUUUAGUGUUUAUGGAGUUUAUCACGAUUGUCACACAAUUGUUGUUUUGGUGCACAUUGCAAACCGCGUCACAUGAAAUGCACCCGCGAUCAAUAGCAUGUUUAUUUUAUUAUUAUUCGAAAUUAUGGUCGGGUCACAUGAAAUGCACACCCGAAUUGAGAUUUACGUAUCGUGACCAUGCCAUGGGAAUCAUACCCAUGGCCACGAUAAUUUAUUAUUGAUCGCGCCUAAAGCAAGCUACAAUGUUUAUGAAUAUUAACGUCCUAAGUAUGCUCCUAGCGUACGAUUAAUGAAAGCAAAAUGAUAGCACAUCACCUUUUAUUUUAAUACCCAACUCCAUUGCCCAAUUUUAAUUAAUAGGUCAAUUUAACUUCAGAGACACCAAAAUGUUAAACAUCACACAUUAAACAUCUAUAUCUUAAUAAAGCAACUAUCCAGGGAAACCAAACUCAUUUACAAAUAGCAAAUAGCAAAAAAAUAAAACUGAUGCAAACAAAAUAUCCCUAAGCCCGAAAUCACUCAACGGAGCUAGCAGAACUUACAGAAUUCCAUUCCAAGGUCAUCUUCACACUGCUCUGACUACGAUCAAAAUUCUAAAGCUUAAGAUCUCAUUUAUGGACUAAGUGUCCCAAAACAGUCCGAAACACAAAACAAAACAUCCCGACGAAUCAAAAUAGCAAAAACAAAUAGGGGGAAAGCAGUUAAUAGGGGAUCGGGGCGUUAAUUCUUAAAACGACCGGUCGGGUCGUUACAUUUAUACCCUUCCGGAUAGAAAAAGAAGGUGUGACAGUGAUGCCUCGAGGAUUGUCCUUGGAGCAGUAUUGAUGCAUGAUGGUAGGGUGAUUGCCUACGCGUCCAGACAAUUGGAGGUACAUGAGAAGAAUUAUCCUNNNNNNNNNNNNNNNNNNNNNNNNNNNNNNNNNNNNNNNNNNNNNNNNNNNNNNNNNNNNNNNNNNNNNNNNNNNNNNNNNNNNNNNNNNNNNNNNNNNNNNNNNNNNNNNNNNNNNNNNNNNNNNNNNNNNNNNNNNNNNNNNNNNNNNNNNNNNNNNNNNNNNNNNNNNNNNNNNNNNNNNNNNNNNNNNNNNNNNNNNNNNNNNNNNNNNNNNNNNNNNNNNNNNNAGUAGAACGAUCUUAGUUUGCGCCAGAGGAGGUGGUUAGAGGUACUGAAGGACUAUGAUAUCACUAUCUUGUAUCACCCAGACAAGGCCAAUGUGGUGGCCGAUGGUUUGAGUCGCAGGGCAGAGAGCUUGGGGAGUUUGGCUUAUUUACCAGCAUUGGAGAGGCCCAUGGUGAUGGAUGUUCAGGCCUUAGCCAGCCAGUUUGUGAGAUUGGAUCUUUCGGAGCCCAGUCGGGUUCUAGCUGGCGUAGUUUCUCGGUCUUCCUUAUUUGAUCGUAUCAGGGAGCGUCAGUAUGAUGAUCCUCAUUUGCUUGUCCUCAAGGACAAGGUUCUGCACGGCGAUGCUAGAGAUGUGACUAUUGGUGAUGACAGGGUAUUAAUGAUGCAUGGUCGGGUCUGUGUACCCAAGGUUGAUGGGCUUCGGGAGUUGAUUCUAGCAGAGGCCCAUAGUUUGCGAUAUUCCAUUCAUCCGGGUGCCGCGAAGAUGUAUCAAGAUUUGAGACAGCACUAUUGGUGGAGGCGGAUGAAGAAAGAUAUAGUUGGAUUUGUAGCUCGGUGCCUCAAUUGUCAGCAGGUAAAAUAUGAGCACCAGAGAUCAGGUGGGUUGCUUCAGCAGAUAUAGAUUCCGGAGUGGAAGUGGGAGAGGAUCACCAUGGACUUCGUAGUUGGACUCCCACAGACUUUGAAGAAGUUCGAUGCCAUUUGGGUGAUUGUGAAUCGGCUGACCAAGUUCGCGCACUUCAUUCUUAUGUGUACUACUUAUUCUUCGGAGCGGUUGGCGGAGAUUUAUAUCCGGGAGAUUGUUCGUUUGCAUGAUACAGUUUCCAUCAUUUCAAACAGAGGUGCUCAGUUCACAUCACAGUUCUGGAGAGCCGUACAAUAUGAGUUGGGCACUCGGGUGGAGUUGAGUACGACAUUUCACCCUUAGACGGACGGACAGUCCGAGCGCACUAUUCAGAUUCUUGCGGAUAUGCUUCGUGCGUGUGUGAUUGAGUUUGAGGGUCUUGGGAUCAGUUCUUGCUAUUGACAGAGUUUGCCUACAACAACAACUAUCAGUACAACAUUUAGAUAGCACCGUAUGAGGCUUUAUAUGGUUGGCGGUGUAGAUCCCCGGUGGGUUNNNNNNNNNNNNNNNNNNNNNNNNNUAGACCCCGUACAUCCCAGUCCAUACAGAAGAGUUAUGCAGACCGGACAGUUCGUGAUGUUUCCUAUAUGGUUGGAGAGCGGGUUCUGCUUCGGGUUUCGCCUAUGAAGGGAGUUAUGAGAUUUGGGAAGAAAAGAAAGUUGAGUCCGAGGUUUAUUGGUUCUUUUGAGAUAUUGAGACGUGUUGGGAAGGAUGCUUAUGAGCUUGCCUUACCUCCCAGCUUGGCAGGAGUUCAUCCGGUAUUUCAUGUUUCGAUGCUCCGAAAGUAUCAAGGCGAUCCGUCACACAUAUUGGAUUUCAGUUCAGUCCAGUUGGACAAGGAUCUAUCUUGUGUUGAGGAGCCAGUGGCAAUAUUGUACAUGCAGGUUUGAAAGCUAAAGUCAAAGAAUAUUGCAUCAGUAAAGGUUAAGUGGCGGGGUCAGCUGGUCGAGGAGGCGACCUGGGAGAUCGAGCAGGAUAUGUGCAGCCGCUACCCUCAUCCUUUACCUACUUUAGGUAUGUCUUUAUACUCGUUCGAGGACGAAUGAAUGUUUAAGUGUAGGACGAUGUAACGACCCGACCGGUCGUUUUAAGAAUUAACGCCCCGAUCCCCUAUUAAUUGCUUUCCCCUGUUUGUUUCUGCUAUUUUGAUUCGCCGGGAUGUUUGGUUUUGAGUUUUGGAGUAUUUUGGGACAUUUAGUCCCUAAAUGAGAGCUUAAGAUUUAGAAUUUGGAUCAUAGUCGGAGCAGUGUGAAGACGAAAUUGGAAUGGAAUUGCGUCGGUUCCGUUAGCUCCGUUGGAUGAUUUCGGGCUUAGGAGCGUAUUCAGAUUGUGUUUUGGAGGUCCGUAGCUUAUUUAGGCUUGAAAUACCGAAAGUUGAAUUUUUGAAGUUUCUAGGUCGAUAGUGAGAUUUUGAUAUCAAGGUCGGAAUGGAAUUUCGGAAGUUGGAGUAGCACCGUAGUGUUGAAUGUGACGUGUGUGCAAAAUUUUAGGUCAUUCGGACGAGGGUUGGUAGACUUUUUGAUCGAAAGCGUAAAUUGAGAGUUUUUGGAGUUCUUAGGCUUGAAUCUAUGGUUAAUUAGAUGUUUUGAUGUGUUUUAGGUGUUUUAAGGAUUGGUAUAAGUUUGGAUAGUGGUAUAUGAUUUGUUCGUGCUUUUGGUUGAGGUCACGGGGGCCUCGGGAUGAUUCCGGAUGGUUGACGGGAAGUUGAGAAUUAGAGUGUGCAGCUGAAACUGUUGGAUUGCUGUCAUAACCGCACCUGCGGAUUGGGGACCGCAGGUGCGGAGCCGCAAAAGCGGCUGGGAGACCGCAGAUGCUGCCGGAUGAGGAAAAACUAAAAACCGCAGGUGCAGAAGUGUCCACGCACCUGAAUGACCGCAGAUGCGGUGAAGAGGUCGCAUAUGCGACAAUGGGAAUUUAAUGAAAAGUCGCAGGUGCGACUUGGUCUUCGCAGAAGUGGGACCGCAGGUGCGGUCCCAAGGCCGCAGAUGUGGUUUUACUGGUUAGAAAAGUGGCAGAAACGAGGGUUUAGUUUCUAAACUUGGAAAAUUGAUUUGGGAGCUCGGGAUUGGCGAUUUUGAGAGAGAUUUCACCUGGGUGUUUUGGGUAAGUAAUUCUUACUCGGUUUUGAUUAAUUUUCAUGAAUCUAUGCUUAAAUUCAUCCUUUAAAUUCGAAUUUGGGGUGGAAAAAUUGGAGAAAAAGUUGGAAAAGUUCCUAGACCUAACUUUUGAGUUGGGAUCGAGAUUUUUGAUGUCAGAUUGGAGUAAUUUCUAUAUAUAUGAACUCGUGAGAGUAUGAGGUUUCCGAAUUUGUAAAUUUUACUCAAUUCCGAGACGUGGGCCUAAGGGGCAUUUUGGUCGUUUUUCUUAAUUUAGAGUAUUAGCUUAGAAUUAAUUAUUGGGAUCAGCUACUUGAAGUUAUAUUUAUAUUAUGCAAUUGAGUUGAAUAGAUUUGGGCCAUUUGGAGUCGAGUACUCGUGGCAAAGGCGUGGUUUCGGGUUGUUUUUGUGCCGGUUCGAGGUAAGUGGCUUGCCUAACCUUGUGUGAGAGAACCCCUUAGGAUUUGGUAUUGUUUACAUUUGAAAUGCCUUGUACGUGAGGUGACGAGUGUGUACUUGUGCUAAUUGUUGAAAAUCCAUUUUCAUUAAGUAACUAUAUCUGUGUUUCCUUUCUUGUUUAUACUACUUCCAAUUUAAGCCUACUAUUAGCUUAGAGAAGCAUGUCUAAUUGACUUAAUUGUUUUACUUGCUCAAACUGCUUUAUUCGAAUUUUGUGCAGCAUGCUAGGUUAGAAAUACUUGUCUUACCUUGUUAUGAAAUUGGAUUGCAUUGAAUAUUCUUCGUGUUGCUGCUGUGCGUUUACUUUGGGACUACGAGACGAUAUCCCGGUAGAUCCCCCCCUGCAUUUUUACUUUGAGACUGCGGACACUUUAUUCUGAUAGAUCCCCCUGCACAUUUACAUUGGAACUAUGGGACUACACACGGUAGAUUCCCCCAGUACUGGAUAUUUACAUUUGGGACUACGGAUCUGAUUUUCGGUGGAUCCCCGCGCAUUAUCAGUUGGACUACGGGACUGCACCCGGGAGAUCCACUAAAUAUUUAUAGUUGGGGACUACAGGACGGUAUCCUGGGAGAUCUCCGGUUGUUAUCUCUGUGUUGAGCUGUAUUCCUUUCCGUGAUUAUUUUGUCUCUGUUAUAGUUGUUGUUGUUCUUUCUAUCCUGUGUUACUUCUCACUGUUGCACUUAAUUAUACUGUCUUAUUCUAUACUAUUAUACCUUGUAUUUCAUUAAUCUCAGUAGGGCCCUGACUUUCCUCGUCACUACCCGACCGAGGUUAGAGUUGACACUUACUGAGUACCGCUGUGGUGUACUCAUGCCCUUUUUGCGCAUGUUUUCCCAUGUGCAGAUCAAGUACUUCCACUCAGUCUUAUCAUCCUUGAGGGGGCACAAUUGUAGAGACUUUAAGGUAUAUCUGUCGCAUCCGCAGACCGAGAAGUCCAUUUCUAUCUUUCUGUAAUAGUAUAGCCCUUCUGUAUUUUCCUUUGAUAGACAUUUAUGGAGUUAGAGCUUCUUAUGUAUUUCUUAGCUUGUGAUUCAUGGGGUUCCGGAUUUUGGGAAUGUUAGGCUGAAAUUCUUGUAUUGUUAUAUGCCAGGUGGCAUCUUAAACACUAUUUUAUUUUGUUAUUUAGGUUGUAUAUUAUUUUCUUUCCGCAAAUUAUUUCUUUUCCGCAUUUGUUAGGCUUACCUAGUCGUAGAGACUAGGUUCCGUCAUGAUAGUUCACGAAGGGCGAACUGAUGUCGUGACAAUAGGGGAAUUUUUCCAAUUAAAGUGACAAUAAUCGAAAUGAGAUUAUUUAUUUCAAAUUCAGAGUCGCCACCUGGGAUAAUUUAUGGUGUCCCGAGUCACCGGUUUAAAAUCCCGAAUCGAGGAAGUUUAACUCUGUUUUAUAGCCCGCGAAAUACAAAAAUCCGGGUAAGGAAUUAUGUUAACCUGGGAGAAGGUAUUAGGCAUUCCCGGGUUCCGUGGUUUUAGCACGGUCGCUCAACUAUUAUUAAUUGGCCUAAUUAUCUAAUUAAUUACACAUUUUAAACCAACGCGCAUUUUUAAACUUUCUAACCGCUUUUAGUGUUUAUGGAAUUAAUCACGAUUGUCGCACAAUUGUUGUUUUUGUGCACAUUGCAAACCGCAUCACAUGAAAUGCACCCGCGAUCUACAACAUGUUUAUUUUAUUAUUAUUCAAAAUUAUGGUCGGGUCACAUAAAAUGCACACCCGAAUUGAGAUUUAUGUAUCGUGAUCAUGCCAAGGGAAUCGUACCCAUGGCCACGAUAAUUUAUUAUUGAUCGCGCCUAUAGCAUGCUACGAUGUUUAUGAAUAUUAACGUCCUAAGUAUGCUCGUAGCGUACGAUUAAUGAAAGCGAAAUGAUAGCACAUCACCUUUUAUUUUAAUACCCAACUCCAAUGCCCAAUUUUAAUUAAUAGGUCAAUUUAACUUCGGAGACACCAAAAUGUUAAACAUCACGCAUUAAACAUCUAUAUCUUAAUAAAUCAACUAUCUAGAGAAACCAAACUCAUUUACAAAUAGCAAAUAGCAAAAAAAUAAAACUGAUGCAAACAAAUUACUAAUAAGCCACAAUCCAAAACAGAGGAAGAAAGCAUUAACCCAUAUGAUCGACAAAAAUAGAGCACAAAGAUUAAUAACACAAUAUAAGCAUGGUAUCAAGCAGAAACAAUAGAAGAAAUUAAGAAACAAACCUCAAACCGAUGAACUCUGGACGCAACUCGAAUCGGCACCGGAAAUUCAAAACCAAAUACGACCCUAAACAAACUCCAUAAUUUGAAAACGAAGUCCGGAAUUUAAAGAGAAGAAAUAGAACAUUUUUCUUUGAAUUCAAUCAUGAACUAACUCACAAAAAAAACAGAAACAUUUUCUUGUAUUGAUUCUAUCCAAAGCUCCUCCCCCAAUUUCUAUGACAAUUCUGUCCGUGUUCUCUACUACCCGUCCCCCCAUUUGGACACAAAUAUCUUCUACACAGUCAACCGCAACAAAUACGCUAUCAGUAGUGCAAAGGGAAGCAGUCAUGGUGUUGAUGGCGGAUAACUGGUGGUCGCUUGUGGUGGAGCUACGGUGGUGGUGGCUGGUUAUUUAGGUUGGGGUGAAGGAGAAGAAGAGGGGUCAGCAUAGCGGUGGGUUUGGGUGUGGAUGUGACAGCAGAGGAGUCGCCGGGUUUGGGUAGUUGCUUGGCACUGUGUGGAGACUGGGAUGGUGGUCUGAAGGUGACGACGGGGUGGUCGCUGGUCGACGUCCAGUGAGGCGGGGGUGGUUUUUUUCUGAAGAUGGCGGCGGCGGCUGGAGAGGGGGGGGGGGGGGGUUCUCUACGAUGAAAAAACGGUUGUUGUCUAGAGAAGAAGAUAGGUUUAGAGUUGUUUUAAUUAUCUAGGUCUUGAAAAUGUGUGUUAGGGUGUAUACGAAGAAGUGGAAGUGAGUCUUAGGGUUUGGGCUUAGGAAAUUGAGUUGGACCAUGUCUUUUGGAUUUAAAUUUAGGCUAAGAAGACCAAAUAGUACAAUGUAUCUAUAAAGUGUAAAAAUCACUCUUAAUUAAAAUAAACUAAUAUAAAAC
rnacentral:lncRNA from 1 species